GAUGAACGCUGGCGGCGUGCCUAAUACAUGCAAGUCGAGCGAACGGACGAGAAGCUUGCUUCUCUGAUGUUAGCGGCGGACGGGUGAGUAACACGUGGAUAACCUACCUAUAAGACUGGGAUAACUGCGGGAAACCGGAGCUAAUACCGGAUGAUAUUUUGAACCGCAUGGUUCAUAAGUGAAAGACGGUCUUGCUGUUACUUAUAGAUGGAUCCGCGCUGCAUUAGCUAGUUGGUAAGGUAACGGCUUACCAAGGCAACGAUGCAUAGCCGACAUGAGAGGGAGGACGGCCACCCGGGAACUGAGACACGGCCGCGGCUCCUACGGGGAGAAACAGUAGAGAAUCUUACGCAAUGGAGGAAAGCCUGACAGAGCAAAGCCGCGUAAGUGAUGAAGGUGUUCGGAUCGUAAGACGCUGUUGUUAGGGAAAAACAUAUGUGUAAGUAACUGUGCACAUCUUGACGGUACCUAAUAAGAAAGCCACGGCUAACUACGUG
rnacentral:rRNA from 1 species